rnacentral:lncRNA from 1 species
UUAGGCUCCCCAGAGAAAUUAGUCACAAAGUCUUAUCCCUUCAUUUCCAUUUACAGCCACUUAUUUGGGAGCAAUAAGUUCUAAAAGGGUGAAAAACAAAGACCAUCCUCCCCUCCCCCAGCAUGUAUUCUCAAGUUCACAGGAAGGACUCUCAUUUGCUUUGGGGUACAAAGAGUACCUGUUAACAGCUGCAUCUUCCCAUGGACAAAUCACACGGUGCAUGUUCACAGAAACACAGGACUCCAGGGGAAAAAAAUCAGUCAUUUACUCAACUCGCUUUACCAGACCUGGUCCCUAGAGCUAUACCCAAGCUCUAGAAAAAGGAAAGAAACUCAGUGGAAACCAGCUACGCAAACCUGCACAAAGAGGACUUCUUGGUUCUGAGAAGUCACAGUAACCAGUGGUUGAGAAAUAAUGAAAAGGUAUGAGACCGCGAAGUUGAGCACACAAGAAUGCUUCAGAAAAUGGAAUGUUGACACUGUCGCCAAGUAACUUUCCUUCCAAGUAUUGAUUACUCUCUACAGAUUAUGGAAAAUAUUUGUCUGAGAUGAUAUUUCAACUGUUCUCAUUCUCAGCUAGCAAGUAUAGUAGAGCUAUAGUGAAGCAUGUGUUCCUAAUUUUCCCCCAGAAGUUAUUGAUAUCGGAAUGUUAAGGUGCUAGGGAAAGAAUGAGGAAACUUUCAUAAGGAACCCAAAUGACCUUCUGAGGGUAAGGAGACUACAAGCCCAAUUCCUUGAGAUUCUCCUUAGAGGAGAAUCAUCAGACUGGACUUAGGUGAUCCCAACCACAGGCCAGAACAAGAAGGAGCUACCAACUUCUUUAAUAGAAAACAUCAUGGUGGAAAGAGAUUGGACAAGUGGGCAGUUAUGUACACCAAGACUGACCUAUGAAAGUGAGUAGUGGUUCUGGUUCGUUAAGGCUGUAACUGUCAGAACUUAUAUUUACCAAGCCAUACUGAGCACAAGCAACAUCCUAGGAAAGAAGGAUAUAGGAGAAUCUAAGAGGACACAGAACAACUCAGUGAAUAUCUGAGAACUACUAUGUCUGGGACUGCUGCUGGAAGAAGGAAAUUUACCCCUCCAUUAUCAUGUCUGUGUUAACCCAUUUAGUUUGUAUUUUCCUUAGUGAGAGGCAUAACACCAUCUUUCCCACUUGGUAGCCUGGUACCACAUCACAGAGCUACCAGCUUUAGGGGCUGGUUAUGGCAUCACCCGGCUUCAUGGAGUAUAGUGGACAUGAAAGGUGUCUUGCACCUCCUUCUACAGAGAAUGGAACUAAACCAGAGCACCAACUACUGCACUUUUAAGUCCAUUCCUCUUGGCACAAUGAUCCCACUUUCCAAGGGCUGCUUACUGUCAAUGAUAGAGUAUGGUGGGAAGUCUCCAUCCUGGGAAACAUAGGACUUAUUUGAUGGCUGACCUGGGCACAGGACUUCCCAGUGGCUUUGCUGAUGCUUCCUUAGACUGCCUGGCAGUCUAGCCUGCUCCCUUCUAGCCUUCUUUCCUUAUCCCCUUCCCUGAGUCAGGCCCAUAUUGUGAUCUGACUGCUAACCCAGGCUUCUCUAGGUCCUUUCACACAAGCAUUUCCUUCAAGAAAAUCCCUGCAGUGUUGAACACUAUCUUCACGUCUGCUUCUCAAGGACCAUGACUGACACAGGAAGAAUAUCUGAAUGGCAUUUGGAGGAACAAAGUAGAAGAGGCAAGGAUUGUCUCCUGGAUAUAAAUUAGCACCCUGAAGAUUUCUUGAGAUUAUCAUAAGUAUGGAGUCCAGGGAACACUAUAUAGAGGUUCAAGAUUAUAAAUCAUAUCUGUGACUUUAUCUUAUAUGCAGCACUUUAAAAUAAAUAAAUAUCCAUUAUGCACAUUUAGGCCAGAAGGCAAGCAUCAAAGCAAAAGGUCAUUCCCUAUUCUCAUAACUUAAGGAAAAGUCGGAGCAGAUGAUGUGUACAAUGGGGCAGGCCAAUGUUGUCUUGGCCUUGAUGACCUCCCAAAUGAGCAUUCAGAGUUGUGACCCCCAAGAACUGCCGGGUUUCCAUGUGUGAAGAGUUCAGGAGUUUCCUCCAGAUCCUGUUGGCUUGACCCUAUACCACCAAAAGCCUGAUAAUGAUCUCUCGGUGUUGCUUCAUCCAUCACCAGCCCUUGGGCCCUCCAUAUUCUGUCCGGCCUCACCAGGAAUAGAAUGAGACCACUCUUCUCAGGCAGAUUUCUACCCAGUGCCAAUCCACAUAUAAUUGGUGGUAGAAAUUUCAAUCCUUCAUGUGCCAGCCACUAUGCAAAGCAUUUUACAUUUCGUUUAUCUCAUUCACUCAUUCAACACAUUUAUUGAGUACCUCCUGUGUGUUAUCACUCCCCAAAGAGAGAACAAGGCUAAAAAGUCCCAGCCUGCCUAAAACAUACUUUCUAAUGAGGGAUAGAGACACAGUAAAAAAAAGAAAGCCAACAAAGACAUAUGUUUUAUUAUUAUAUUAUUAUAUAUAUAAUAGAGCCCAACAUGGGGCUUGAACUCAUGACCCUGAGAUCAAGACCUGAGCUGAGAUGGAGUCAGACACUUAACCAACUGAGCCAUUCAGGAGCCCAUCCAAGCCAAUGUUGUUAACCAUUAUGCCUUGUCACCAAGGUGGAUUCCACAACCUUCCUAUUUAUUAUUCUAAAAUCAGAGAGAAAGCCCAAUCUUUAUGUUCUCACUGUUCUUGCUAACACCCUUUGUGACUUUUACAGUCUAAAUGUUUAGGUGCUAAGGAGCCACCUAAGAGACUACAAAGCACUGGCCAUGAUUAUUAUGAUCAUCAAUCAUCAUCGUUAUCACCAUAGCUUUUUUCUAUCCCAAAAUCCCAGUGGCUGGGGAAAGAGAGAGUAACACAGACCCCAAGAGCUUGCAUUUCCUCCUAACAGUUAAGCAGUGUGGGCAGAAGUCCCUGCGGGGAGGUUCUAAAACCAGCCUUCGGCAGGAAAAACUGUGACUCACUAAACCCAUAGAUAUUUAUGUUGGUCUUGCUGCAAAGAACAUCCUUCUCUUCUGGGUAAUAACUGAACCCCAUAAAUAGAUGUUAAACUUCUAUCCAUUCUUCAAAAAUAAACUGGUAGGACUUUUACAAUAUCAUAGUGAGACACACCGUUAGCUCUAUUAGUCAUUUGAUUUUUGCCUUCUUCCCAUUGCCUGCUUUGUUUGCAUCCCCAUCUAAUCCAGAGGCCCUGGGAUAAUAAAGAACCAAGCUCAUGUAUCCAUGGUUUCCCAAACCCUGAGUAAUCAGGAUCCUUAUUCUGUUAGCAAUAAACUUUGGAGGUUGUUUUUUCGUUUUUUUUUUUUUUUUUGCAUGAGCAGACACUGUUUCCCCAGCUUUAUUUCUUGCAUAUGAUCUAAAUAUGUUUCACUAAGCUUUGUAAUAACAAUAUAGCUGUUUGCAGGGUGUUGUCUACAAGAUAAUGAGCAAUUUUGCCUAACAGUCUUUUAAGAGCUGACAUAACCCUGAGGGGAGGGAUCCUCUUGAUUAACUAGUUUAUAUUGAAUUCCACACAGCACCAUUGUUAAUCAAAGCAUACUAUGAUUAUUGUGACAGUUUGUAAUUACUAGCUCAAAAUGGUUUGGAAGUAGUAUUUAUAUGUAUUUUUCCACUCAACCAAUGGGACAUUUUUUUAUAUACAAGUGGAGAUUCAUAUCUGCCAGACUUUAUAUACCUUGGAAGCUUCAUUCUUUUCCCCAGUUCUCUUCUGCUGAUAGUCAACUAAGUGAUCAAGUGGAAAGCCUAAACAACGUUAAGCAUCAUCACACACGAAUGUGGGCAAUUCAUUUAAUUCAAGAAUGGAAAACUGUCCCUGAAGUCCCUGUUUCUUUGGAACCAGAUGAGCCUGGCAAGCCCGGAGAGAAAUGUGAAGAAGCGGCAAUAUUUUUCCCUGCAAAUACCUCUAGUCCUCCUGGUUUCACAAGAGUGGAUUUUGAUUAACCAAGUCUUCUUAGGUGUGCACUAUGUGUUUGAAAAGGGCUUACAGGGUGGCCAGGCACUGAUCAGAAAUCCUCCUAGAGUCUAAAAGUUGGAAGGUAUUUAGUAAGCAGGUAAAAUGAUGAUUUGUCAGGCCAGAUACAGUGUUUCCAGAAUACAUUUUUUUAGGGGCACCUGGGUGGCUCAAUUGGUUAAGCGUCCAAGUUCGGCUCAGGUCAUGAUCUCGCAGUUUGUGAGCUCAAGCCCAGCGUCGGGCUCUGUGCUGACAGCUCAGAGCCUGGAGCUUGCUUCUGGUUUUGUGUCUCCCUGUCUUUCUGCCCCUCCCCUGCUUGUGCUCUGUCUCUAAAAGAAAUAAACAUUUAAAAAAAUUUUUUUAAAGAAUAUACUUUAUUAAAUUCUAUUGCAUUUUUCCUCAUUUUUUGAAAAAAAAACAGAUAAACUGGACAUUCAGGAAUUAACCUGUGGACCAGGGACAGAAGAAAUCCACAUAAAGCAAUCAGGAAGAUAAGACCUCAAGAUCUUUUCCUCUUAGCAGUCUCCUGCUAUUCUUCUUAGUCCAAAUGGUGACAUUUUGCAUUUUCUCCUGACUCUAAGGUCUAUUGUUUCUGACCCUGUCUUAGAUAUCUCUGCUCAGUCCAUGACCUCAGAAUUGUAAUCUCUCAUGGUUAGGAGGGAAAAUGAAAGACACAUGGCAUCAUGUACCCACCAAGCACCCACUGCCCAGUGUCAAGUCUAGAAUGUGUCAGCAUCUUGGUUGGCAACUCUCUGGGUGCUAAGUUGUCAAUCCCUUAAGUGAUGUCCUUGACUGUGGAUGAUGGUCUGGGUAUGGUCUCAAAGUACAAAGUAUAGUGGGAUUUCAAGACAAUACCGCUUGGUCUAGAUCUACAUCCCAGGAAAGGAGCAAUCGUUUACUAAGUUUCAAUGCUGAGGAUGGGAAAAUGUAAUAAAUUCUUCUGAACUUUUUUUUCCACAAGAAUUCCUAUUAAGCAAGAUCUUUCCAUCUAUUGAUGGUUAUUUAUAACUGGCUGGUGAUGAUUUACGAUUCCAUGGCAGUAAUAUGCCUUUUAAAGGGAAACAACAAGCAUUUAAAAAAAAAAAAAGUUUCUCUGAGGAGGAAGUUCACUGUGUCUCUUAUCAUUUCAACUAUGUAGUCAUAUACAUGUUUGCUCUUAGGGACUUUCCAGAACAUGGCCUUAGUUUCUGGUCUCUUUUUCCACUCCCAGGUAUACUACUUGGCUGUGCUGUGUGCUAAGGAUCUAUAAGACAGUGGAUGUGAAUACAAGCAAACAGAAUGUGGGUGGGGUUGGAGGAAGUCACUGCCCAGAGAAUAAGAAGACCACGAUUCUCAACUCAGCUCUGCUGUUAACUAGCUGUGAGGCUUGAGGCUAACUAUGCAGU